rnacentral:rRNA from 1 species
UACGAAGGGGGCUAGCGUUGCUCGGAAUCACUGGGCGUAAAGCGCACGUAGGCGGAUCUUUAAGUCAGGGGUGAAAUCCCGGAGCUCAACUCCGGAACUGCCUUUGAUACUGAGGGUCUCGAGUUCGGGAGAGGUGAGUGGAACUGCGAGUGUAGAGGUGAAAUUCGUAGAUAUUCGCAAGAACACCAGUGGCGAAGGCGGCUCACUGGCCCGAUACUGACGCUGAGGCACGAAAGCGUGGGGAGCAAACAGG